rnacentral:lncRNA from 1 species
GAUCCUCACUCAGUAGAUGUUUUGGGUGACUUUCCGACAUCCCUGACCAUUUUCCAGCAAGAUUUCCGACGGUUGCACCUAGGGUUUUGUACCUAGGGGAUUCUCUGAUUGAUUGAAGGCCGAUCUUCUCCGGUCGCGAAGAAGGAGGGUAACUCUGUCCUUAUCUUGAGUAUUAUAUGCUUUGUGUAUGAUUAUCUGACUCCGUAUGUGAGUAUCUGGUUUUGUGUGUGAAUAUCUAGUUUGGUUAUAUUCUACUUGUUGAAAUUUUCUUUAAGCCGGUUCAUUGAUUAUGGCUUCUAAUACGAAUGUUGGUACCUCCUCCUCCUCGGUAGACUCUACCAGCCCCCUCUUUGUAUACUCCUCUGAUGUCCCUGGGUAUCUCUUGUCCCCAGUCCUUUCUCGGGAAGUGGUUAUGGGGGUUGGAGGAGAAAAAUGAUUGUUGCAUUAUCUGCUAAAAACAAAAUUGGUUUUGUUGAUGGCACAUGCUCCCGACCAGCUAUUAAUGUGGCUCAACAAAGGUUAUGGGAUAGGUGCAAUAACAUGGUGAUUUCAUGGUUAACUGCUUCCCUCUCCUCUCAAAUUGCUGAAAGUGUGCAGUGUUCUGAUACUGCACAGAGCAUAUGGUCCCAACUCCAGGCCAGAUAUGGCACUUGCAAACAGGACCAAAAUCUUUGAAUUGAAAAGGGAGCUUUCUCACACCUCCCAAGGAUCCUUAGAUGUAGCUUCAUAUUCUAAUAAGCUCAUAGGUCUGUGGGAUGAACUAGAAUCAAUGUGUGUUAAUCAUGGUCAAAGAUGUGUUUGUGUUGCCAAAGAUGGUAUAAUACAGGAAAGUGAUGAAAAUAAGGUGUUUCAGUUUUUACUGGGUCUUAAUGAAGCAUACAUGGGGGUAAGGAGUAAUCUUUUGAUGAUGCAGCCUCCUCCAUCUCUUGACAAUGUCUAUAAUAUGGUCCUCAAUGAUGAGAAGCAGAGACAAGUCCAGUCUUCUUCUCACUUUAAUCCAGACUCUGUCUCUUUCAAUGUUCAUACUAAUAGGCAGCCUGUUGGAUUUAACAAGGCCACAGUGCCUAGUCCUUCUUCUCCUUUCAGACAAAGAGUCAAUUUUGAUCAAGCCAGAGGAUCUUUAUUCUGUAGAUACUGUAAAAAAUCUGGACACUUAAUUGAUAAGUGUUUCAAGAUCCAUGGGUAUCCAUAAAGUACAAAUUUUAACAAGGGGAGGAGACCUGCUGCUGCUCAUCUUAGUGCUGGUCUGGAUUUUCCUCAUUCUGUUUCAAGAUCCAUGGGUAUCCAUAAAGUACAAAUUUUAACAAGGGGAGGAGACCUGUAGUUGCUCAUCUUAGUGCUGGUCUGGAUUUCCCUCAUUCUGAAGGACAUGUGUCUGUUCCCCAAGGGAAUCCUCCUGAAAGCCAUCAAUCUGUUCCAAAAAUAGAUGGCCAGUGUUCUGUGAUACCAGGGUUGAGCAGACAACAGUAUGAUCAGUUGAUGAAUUUAUUACAACAGAACAAGUUAGGGGACUCCACUGCUCAGACUCCUCCUCCCAUGUAUGCUGCUAACUUUGCUGGUGCUAUGUUUGUUAGAAACUACGCUUAACGCUAGAGGGGGGGGGGGG